rnacentral:rRNA from 1 species
UACAGAGGGUGCGAGCGUUAAUCGGAAUUACUGGGCGUAAAGCGUGCGUAGACGGUCAUGUAAGUCGGGUGUGAAAGCCCCGGGCUCAACCUGGGAAUUGCAUUCGAGACUGCAUGGCUAGGGUGCGGAAGAGGGAAGCGGAAUUUCCGGUGUAGCGGUGAAAUGCGUAGAUAUCGGAAGGAACACCAGUGGCGAAAGCGGCUUCCUGGUCCAGCACCGACGUCAGGCACGAAAGCGUGGGGAGCAAACAGG